rnacentral:tRNA from 1 species
UCCUGGUUGGCUCAGUUGGUAAAACGCUCCAUAGGAAAUGGAAAGGUCCCUGGUUCGAUUCCAGGACCAUGCG